rnacentral:rRNA from 1 species
UACGAAGGGGGCUAGCGUUGUUCGGAUUUACUGGGCGUAAAGCGCACGUAGGCGGAUUGUUAAGUCAGGGGUGAAAUCCCGGAGCUCAACUCCGGAACUGCCUUUGAUACUGGCAAUCUAGAGUCCGGAAGAGGUGAGUGGAACUCCUAGUGUAGAGGUGGAAUUCGUAGAUAUUAGGAAGAACACCAGUGGCGAAGGCGGCUCACUGGUCCGGGUACUGACGCUGAGGUGCGAAAGCGUGGGGAGCAAACAGGA